AUUGAACGCUGGCGGCAUGCUUUACACAUGCAAGUCGAACGGUAACAGGCCGCAAGGUGCUGACGAGUGGCGAACGGGUGAGUAAUGCAUCGGAACGUGCCCAGUCGUGGGGGAUAACGCAGCGAAAGCUGCGCUAAUACCGCAUACGAUCUAUGGAUGAAAGCGGGGGACCGUAAGGCCUCGCGCGAUUGGAGCGGCCGAUGUCAGAUUAGGUAGUUGGUGGGGUAAAGGCUCACCAGGCCAACGAUCUGUAGCUGGUCUUAGAGGACGACCAGCCACACUGGGACUGAGACACGGCCAGGACUCCUACGGGAGGCAGCAGUGGGAAAUUUUGGACAAUGGGCGCAAGCCUGAUCCAGCAAUGCCGCGUGCAGGAAGAAGGCCUUCGGGUUGUAAACUGCUUUUGUACGGAACGAAACGGUCCUGGUUAAUACCCGGGGCUAAUGACGGUACCGUAAGAAUAAGCACCGGCUAACUACGUGCCAGCCGCCGCAGUAACAC
rnacentral:rRNA from 1 species